CCUUGCUCACUCUGAGCUUCUCCUAGCUUUCUCUGUACCUGCAAAACUGGGGUUAAGGAAAAGGAAUGAGCUACAAGAGCCCAGUGAGUAGAAACACUGAAAACAAGUCAUUACUUACAUAUUCUCAUGAAAUGCGUCACAGUACAAACAUAUCACAUCUCGGAUUAGACAUGAUCUCAAAACUCCCUCUGUUGGUGCCCGGCCCUAUGGACUCCCAGGUCACUACAUGGUCUAGCGCCCCGCCCCUCCUAUGGAGUUCCCACAGGUCUUAUCUAGCCAUAAC
rnacentral:lncRNA from 1 species